rnacentral:rRNA from 1 species
GAGCGAGAAAAGGGGGCAACUCCUGAGUAAAGCGGCGUACGGGUGAGUAACACGUGGAUUAUCUACCUUUUAGUGGGGAAUAACUUUGGGAAACCGAAGCUAAUACCGCAUAAGCCUGUAAAGGGAAAGCCCUAUUGUAAAAAAUGGGGCGCUGGAAGAAGAGUCCGCGGCCGAUUAGCUAGUUGGUGAGGUAACGGCUCACCAAGGCGACGAUCGGUAGCCGGCCUGAGAGGGCACACGGCCACACUGGCACUGAAACACGGGCCAGACUCCUACGGGAGGCAGCAGUGGGGAAUCUUGCACAAUGGACGAAAGUCUGAUGCAGCGACGCCGCGUGAGCGAUGAAGCCCCUCGGGGUGUAAAGCUCUUUCGGCAGGAACGAUAAUGACGGUACCUGAAGAAGAAGCUGCGGCUAACUACGUGC